rnacentral:misc_RNA from 1 species
GAUGAAGAACGUAGCGAAAUGCGAUAAGUAAUGUGAAUUGCAGAAUUCAGUGAAUAAUCGAAUCUUUGAACGCACAUUGCGCCCGCCAGCAUUCUGGCGGGCAUGCCUGUUCGAGCGUCAUUUCAACCCUCGAGCCCCCCCGGGGGCCUCGGUGUUGGGGGACGGCACACCAGCCGCCCCCGAAAUGCAGUGGCGACCCCGCCGCAGCCUCCCCUGCGUAGUAGCACACACCUCGCACCGGAGCGCGGAGGCGGUCACGCCGUAAAACGCCCAACUUUCUUAGAGUUGACCUCGGAUCAGGUAGGAAUACCCGCUGAACUUAAGCAUAUCAAUAAGCGGAGGA